rnacentral:rRNA from 1 species
GAUGAACGCUGGCGGCGUGCCUAAUACAUGCAAGUCGAGCGAACAGACGAGGAGCUUGCUCCUCUGACGUUAGCGGCGGACGGGUGAGUAACACGUGGAUAACCUACCUAUAAGACUGGGAUAACUUCGGGAAACCGGAGCUAAUACCGGAUAAUAUAUUGAACCGCAUGGUUCAAUAGUGAAAGACGGUUUUGCUGUCACUUAUAGAUGGAUCCGCGCCGCAUUAGCUAGUUGGUAAGGUAACGGCUUACCAAGUCAACGAUGCGUAGCCGACCUGAGAGGGUGAUCGGCCCCACUGGAACUGAGACACGGUCCAGACUCCUACGGGAGGCAGCAGCAGGGACUCUUCCGCAAUGGGCGAAAGACUGACGGAGCAACGCCGCGUGAGUGAUGCAGGUCUUCGGAUCGUAAAACUCUGUUAUUAGGGAAGAACAAAUGUGCAAGUAACUAUGCACGUCUUGACGGUACCUAAUCAGAAAGCCACGGCUAACUACGUG